UAGCUUUGGCAGCACAUAUACUAAAAGUGGAACGAUACAGAGAAAAUUAGCAUGGCCCCUAUGCAAGGAUGACACGCAAAUUCGAGAAGCGUUCCAUAUUUUU
ensembl:snRNA U6 U6 spliceosomal RNA